rnacentral:rRNA from 1 species
GUGAGGAAUUAUGCGCAAUGGGCGAAAGCCUGACGCUGCGACGCCGCGUGGGUGAUGACGGUCUUCGGAUCGUAAAACCCUGUCGAGAGGGGAGAAAGAGCGAGCGCUAAUACCGUUCGCUUCUGACGGUACCUCUGGAGGAAGCCCCGGCUAACUCCGUGCCAGCAGCCGCGGUAAUACGGAGGGGGCGAGCGUUGUUCGGAAUUACUGGGCGUAAAGCGCGCGUAGGCGGUCAUGCAAGUCGAAUGUGAAAUCCCUGGGCUCAACCCAGGAACUGCGUCCGAGACUGCUUGGCUUGAGGCCGGUAGGGGGUGGCGGAAUUCCCGGUGUAGCGGUGGAAUGCGUAGAUAUCGGGAGGAACACCGAUGGCGAAAGCGGCCACCUGGGCCGGUUCUGACGCUGAGGCGCGAAAGCUAGGGGAGCAAACAGGAUUAGAUACCCGGGUAGUCC